rnacentral:tRNA from 1 species
GCGGAAGUGGCGGAAUUGGUAGACGCACCAGAUUUAGGUACUGGCGCCGCAAGGUGUGAGAGUUCAAGUCUCUCCUUCCGCACCA